UUCCUCAGUAGCUCAGCGGUAGAGCGGUCGGCUGUUAACUGACUGGUCGUAGGUUCGAAUCCUACUUGGGGAGA
rnacentral:tRNA from 7 species